UACGAAGGGUGCAAACGUUGCUCGGAAUUAUUGGGCGUAAAGCGCACGUAGGCGGCUUGGCAAGUCGGAUGUGAAAUCCCUCGGCUCAACCAAGGAAGUGCACUCGAAACUGGCAGGCUUGAGUACUGAAGAGGGUCGCGGAAUUCCCGGUGUAGAGGUGAAAUUCGUAGAUAUCGGGAGGAACACCAGUGGCGAAGGCGGCGACCUGGGCAGAUACUGACACUGAGGUGCGAAAGCGUGGGGAGCAAACAGG
rnacentral:rRNA from 1 species